rnacentral:rRNA from 1 species
GUCUAUGGCCAUACCACCCUAAACGUGCCCAAUCUUGUCUGAUCUCAGAAGCUAAGCAGGUCGGGCCUGGUUGGUACUUGGAUGGGAGA